AUAUACUAAAGGUGGGUUACUGUUCCUAAGCAGCUCCUUAUGAACAAUGUACUUUCGCUUUUGCCCCCGCUGGCUGACCCGGAUUUUACUAUAUUCCCCUGCCACCUGUUGAUAUGCUGAGCUGACAAAUAGUAGAGUUGUUGCAUGCCCUUCUUUCUCUACGCAAAAGAGAGAGCUUAUUUGCCUCACAAAAAGAGGGGGAGAGAAUUGGGUCAUGUUCGUCGAGGAGAGACACAGUACAACUCACUUCGAUUUAAGAGGUAUUUUGAUUGAUUUCUCAGGUUUGAGCCUUCAUGCAGCUGUAAUUUUUUGUGUUAGUUUUUUUUUUCUUCAUUCUCAGUUGAAUCAGACUUCAAACUUAGUCGGAUGAGUUAUUGAUAGGUUGAAUUGGGUUUUUUUUGUGCCGUUGAUGUUUUAAGAUUUGGGCUUCUGGAGGAUACACCAUCAAACAGAUGGUGCUGGGAUUCGGAACGAAAGUGAUCGGAAAAGGCUAGGUUCUCCAGUGAGGAGCCACUACCAAUCUACUCCAGAAGCAAGGUAAUUCUCUUUGAUACCUGCUCUUCUGCGAGAGACAUGCACAGAAAGAAAGAAGAAGAGGGAAAUUCACAUCACGAGACUGAUCGGAGAGAGAAGGAGAAGCAUCUUUUUGAUAGUACAAAUAUAAGAGAAGAAGAAGAAGAAGAAGAGGGAGACGGGAAGGAAAGCAGAGGCAGAGUAGAGAAAGGAAAAGAUGAAUGAAAAUUAAUGAAGAGGAAGUGCCUUUGGGAUUUCGAUCCACUCUGAUCAAAAUUCCAAGUUGUGCGACAAAGGUCAGCUCCGGAGUUUCCAAGAGAAAGUUUGGAGUCAAAAUUCGUCUAAUCACCUCUUUUCGGGAUACUUGCUACAUUGAGAUUCUUCCUAAAUACAGGAAUGCUACAUGAGAGCCCUCUACUCUAAUCCUUCACACCCGGGUCAAAAUCCACCUCAAAACCCAAAAAUCACUACAAAAAAGAGCAACAGAGAAAGAGAGUUGUGAGCAGCAAGAACAGUUUUGACGACCAUAGCUUCCAAAAUAGAGCCGACCCAGAAGCUGGUUUUCUCAGAUGAGCACAAAGCCACCAUCUUUGCUGCAGAACCAAGACUGAUCUGAUGAAUCUCGGUGAUUGGAUUUUGAUUUGAGGAAGCUGAAAACGUAUCUGGGUUGAAACUCAAUUUGAACAACAAUGGGCGGAUGGUAAGGUGGAAGAAUGGAAAAAUGCAAUUCACGAUGGUGAACAUGUUUAGGAUUAGCAGACUGUUAUUCACCUUAACUAUUUUAGCACAAUAGAAGAUAAAAAGC